rnacentral:rRNA from 1 species
UNGUAGGUGGUUUGUUGCGUCGUCUGUGAAAUUCCGGGGNUUAACUUCGGGGUGGCAGGCGAUACGGGCAUAACUAGAGUGCUGUAGGGGAGACUGGAAUUCCUGGUGUAGCGGUGGAAUGCGCAGAUAUCAGGAGGAACACCGAUGGCGAAGGCAGGUCUCUGGGCAGUAACUGACGCUGAGGAGCGAAAGCAUGGGGAGCGAACAGGAUUAGAUAUCNUGGUAGUCCAUGCUGUAAACGGUGGGCGUUAGGUGUGGGGACCGGUUUGGUUUCUGUGCCGUAGCUAACGCAUUAAGCGCCCCGCCUGGGGAGUACGGCCGCAAGGCUAAAACUCAAAGGAAUUGACGGGGGCCCGCACAAGCGGCGGAGCAUGUGGAUUAAUUCGAUGCAACGCGAAGAACCUUACCUGGGUUUGACAUGCACCAGACGGUUGUAGAGAUACGUACCUCCCUUUGUGGUUGGUGUGCAGGUGGUGCAUGGUUGUCGUCAGCUCGUGUCGUGAGAUGUUGGGUUAAGUCCCGCAACGAGCGCAACCCUUGUCUUAUGUUGCCAGCACUUUGGGUGGGGACUCAUGAGAGACUGCCGGGGUUAACUCGGAGGAAGGUGGGGAUGACGUCAAAUCAUCAUGCCCUUUAUGCCCAGGGCUUCACACAUGCUACAAUGGUUAGUACAACGCGCUGCGAGCCUGUGAGGGUGAGCGAAUCGCUGAAAGCUAAUCUCAGUUCGGAUUGGGGUCUGCAACUCGACCCCAUGAAGUCGGAGUCGCUAGUAAUCGCAGAUCAGCAAUGCUGCGGUGAAUACGUUCCCGGGCCUUGUACACACCGCCCGUCACGUCAUGAAAGUUGGUAACACCCGAAGCCCAUGG